UAAUCAAAAUCAUAAACAGCUUACUUUCUCCCCCUUUUUUUGUGGGUAGAAUCUCUGCUCCUUGAUCCAGGGCAAAGGUGGGCACAAGUACAACCCCAGUGCGCGGGAGUUCACUGCUGCUCUCAGGGGACUGAGUGUGUCAAACAUCCUAUCUGCCCUCUCUUCGGUCACAUCUAAUUGUGAGGUGGAUGAUGGAGUCACACUUCUGACUUCCUCAUCUGAUGGGGCGACUCCCUCGACCUCAGCAACAACAGGUCCACUGACGCUUCUGACCACCUCAUUGGCCCUGCCACCAUCUACAACUGCAAUAGAACCAAUGGAUGUAGAACUGGUGUCAGACAUUGUGGAAGACAAGACUGUUGGUGAUUGCAUCCAGGAGGAGGGCCUGACCCUCUUUUAUGUUGCUGGCUGGGUAAUCCGGCUCCUUCAGCAGGAGGAAACAGUGAGGGCAUGUCCUCACUGUGAAGUCCUGCUGUUGGGUCCAACACAUCAAGACCACAGCUACACUGCAAGCAAAGAGCACCCUUUCCUGGCGGC